rnacentral:rRNA from 1 species
UGGGGAAUAUUGGACAAUGGGCGAAAGCCUGAUCCAGCCAUGCCGCGUGUGUGAAGAAGGUCUUCGGAUUGUAAAGCACUUUAAGUUGGGAGGAAGGGCAGUAAGCGAAUACCUUGCUGUUUUGACGUUACCGACAGAAUAAGCACCGGCUAACUCUGUGCCAGCAGCCGCGGUAAUACAGAGGGUGCAAGCGUUAAACGGAAUUACUGGGCGUAAAGCGCGCGUAGGUGGUUCGUUAAGUUGAAUGUGAAAGCCCCGGGCUCAACCUGGGAACUGCAUCCAAAACUGGCGAGCUAGAGUAGGGCAGAGGGUGGUGGAAUUUCCUGUGUAGCGGAGAAAUGCGUAGAUAUAGGAAGGAACACCAGUGGCGAAGGCGACCACCUGGGCUCAUACUGACACUGAGGUGCGAAAGCGUGGGGAGCAAACAGG